CCCUCAUGCAUGAAGGUGUCUCCCCCUGGAAGAACCCUCUGGAGCUCUUCUAGACCUUUGCGAAUGUGUUCCCUGAGCAGAUAUACAUAAAACGAGCUGGAUGAAAGAAAAGCAAAGGAUUAAAAGCUGUUUUGAGGGGAUCUGCACCCACCUGUCUUCUGUCAGGCUCAUUAAGAUCCUUCCCUCAGUGGAAAACACAAUGAAGGACAUCCGCAACUGUGGACUGGGGCAAGGAGAAGAGGGGAAAAAAUAUACUCUGUUAGCACAAACAGCCCAGCCAACAGGCUGAAACAUUGGAACAUCUGGACGGAAUGGAGAAAGAGCAGUGCAGACACGGAGAAGAGAGAAGAGAGGAGAAGAAAGAUCAGCCAGAUACUGCAAGAGGACAGUGAGGGCAGGUGGAGGACAUCACUGCUAAAAGGCAGCGGAGCGAGCUAAGAUCCCGCCUGGAGAAAAGACAGGAAAAGGAACAGCUAAUGCAGUGAAUUGAUGCCCGACAAUAAAUACUGUGACGUCACACAUGUAAUAUAAAUCUAUGUUGUUAAAACAUUGCUCAUGCUAACAAUUACUCUCUAUUACACACAAUCAAUUGCCUAAUUUCCUCUCAGAGAAACAGCAGUGUGCCCGGAGUUGGCACUGACAUGUACUGUAGGACAACUGGAAAAUCCAACACCAUCUCUGAAAGGAGAGUGACGGAGAGAGGGAGAUGGCAGACUGCAAUCCUCCGAUCCCAUCUUCCAGAUAAGAAAAAUUACGAGUUGAGCUGGAUGAUACAUUUGUUGUUGACCUAGUUGGCAAACAUUUAGGCUUUUUAACAAAAACAAGUAGUUUUAAGCCAGGUUUACAAAACACAAAUGUCAUAAGGUAAGUUCUCUGUUGUAGUCCAAAGGCAACAGCCUUGGUAAGUUAAUUGUCAGUGCCAGAGGAGCUGUGUGCAUAUUUAUCUAUAGUAUGAAGUGUUUUUCUUACGAAUCCCAGUCGGGAAAACUCAGGUAAACACUGCUCAUGUAUGACAAUGACCCUUUUUGAGAACCUUAAACUGUUUUCACUUGACUGGCUUUGCUGACGAGAUUGCUCAAUUCCUGUUUAUCUAAAUUUGUAGAGCAUGGAAAUGAAAGUUUUACUUACAAAUACAACAUGUAUAUCAUCCAGAUAUCUGCAAAAAUGAUAAGAAAUUAAAGGGACCAUAUCAUGCCUCAUCAAAGUGUUAUUGACAUGAUCAGAUAAACGUUCAAUGUGGCUGAAGGGAAAUGCAGAGCUCACCAAAAACCAGGCUAGAUAAACAUGGAAACUGUUUCUAAAUCAAGACCCAUGUAUCCAAAUGACUUUGCAGGAAGUCCAAACAUCCUGUGUCCUACUUGAGAGACACUGACUAUGUUAUAAAUAUAAUGAUGCAGGUUAUUUAUGCACUUACUGGUGACCAAUUCUGGAUAAAAACUGCCCACACAGUAUGUGUUAUGUUAUGUUAUGAGGAUGAACACAACAGUCACCUAUACUGCUUAUAGUCUGUGCAGCCUGCAGCUGACUGAUGAAUGGGGUAACACACCACU